GUUUUUUUUUGAUAUGGGGAUUGUUACUAAGACAAUCGGAGUCAUAUUCAGUCUGAGGCGUUUGGAAAUGAUUAUCUCUCGAAAUCCCAAUGGCAAAAGUGUUACAAGAUGUUUCGGGAUGGCCGGAAAAACGUCACGCCGAAUGUCUGCGGUGAUCGAGGAUUUUUGGAUGCCCUACUAUGAAAAAGCACCUUCUCCACAUUUGGAGGCCCUGGACAACAAAAGAGUCUGAAGAACAUCAGCGUUGAAGCCUUCCAGGAAGUUCAUACAGCAUGGAACUCUUGAUUGCAAAAAGAAUAUUGACAAAUCGCACCAUUGAAUAAAUUUUUGAAUCCAUACCUUGUCUAGAAAUAACCUGAACAAUUAGAUAGACAAAGAUAGACGUUGGAGAUAGCUUGAAUAUGGUUCAUGCUGUUUCUCAUUAUUUCCUCACGGGACAACUAAAAACAUGAAGUUAUGAAUGUUGAUACAAAUUUGAAAUAAUAGAAAAAGUCUUAAAAAUGUUAAUGUUGUCUUUAGAAAAAAUAAAAUCAACCUGAAUCAGGAUGAAACUUUUUGUAUCUAAUGUGCUUCUCAAUAAAACAUUUGAUAAAUAAAAA